GAACGCUGAAGCCCUGGUGCUUGCACCGGGGUGGAUGAGUGGCGAAGGGUGAGUAACACGUGAGUAACCUGCCCCCGACUUCGGGAUAAGCCCGGGAAACUGGGUCUAAUACCGGAUAUGACSAYRMWSGCAUGWGUGRUGGUGGAAAGUUUUUUCGGUUGGGGAUGGGCUCGCGGCCUAUCAGUUUGUUGGUGAGGUAAUGGCCACCAAGACGACGACGGGUAGCCGGCCUGAGAGGGCGACCGGCCACACUGGGACUGAGACACGGCCCAGACUCCUACGGAGGCAGCAGUGGGGAAUAUUGCACAAUGGGGGAAACCCUGAUGCAGCGACGCAGCGUGCGGGAUGACGGCCUUCGGGUUUAAACCGCUUUCAGCAGGGAAGAAGCCYYUYGGGGUGACGGUACCUGCAGAAGAAGUACCGGCUAACUACGUGCCAGCACCGCGGUAAUACGUAGGGUACAAGCGUUGUCCGGAAUUAUUGGGCGUAAAGAGCUCGUAGGUGGUUGGUCACGUCUGCUUGGAAACGCAACGCUUAACGUUGCGCGUGCAGUGGGUACGGGCUGACUAGAGUGCAGUAGGGGAGUCUGGAAUUCCUGGGUAGCGGUGAAAUGCGCAGAUAUCAGGAGGAA
rnacentral:rRNA from 1 species